GUUUUUCUAGGACCCAGAGCCAACUUCACUCCCGCAGAGCACUGCACAGAGUUUAUUCAUGCAGAGUUUACUGAGCCGCCUGAGGGGACAUGGUCAAACCUCAUCUGCGAGAAGAAGUAUUGAUGCACCACCAGGUCAUGGCUUCUGAGGAGUUUGCAGCCCCUAAGGAAUAGAGUGGAUUGCACAAAGUCUUCUCAGGUUGGGACCUGGGGCCUCCAUGGAUGGCUCACUACCUGGGUGCUUCCGUCCUGAGAGCCACAUCCUGUCAGAUGCCAAGGAAACCCUGCCUGCAUGUACCUGAGGCUCUGAGGUGGGGCCUUUGGAGGCCACCCCCCCCCCAUGUCUGCCCACACAACAGAGGCUGUCCAUCUGAAAAACAAACAAGAAGGCACCCAGUGGUGCCUCUUCUGGAUGUUCCUACAGAAUCAAUGUCUUCCCAGGAGUCCUCAGCUAACACCAGUCAGUCCUCCAAGAGCUGGAGCAAGAGAGCUCCAAGAGGCAUUUUCAGAUGGAUAAGGAGCCUGGAGCUGCUGAGGCCACCCCCGCACCCUGUCAGGCAUUGCCAGGGAUGACUGCGGAGGGCCCGGGAUACUGCCUACAUCAACACGGUGACAUUUCUGUAAUCUGAGGCCGGGUGGCCCCCUCUCUGCGGCUGACUGCAGCAGGAAUCUCCACUCUCAGCCAUCCGUUCUGGUGACCAGAAGCCCAGGCCGUCCCCUUUGAGAAUAGAGAUAUACCCACAGUGCGUGGGGGCUCCUUAAAUCAGUCGUUGACACCUCAGUGUGAACCUGCUCAUUAUACCAAGAGUGAGCACCUGCUGUGUGCCAAGCACUAUUUCCAGGCACUCGGAAAAUAGUAGUGAACGAAAUGGGCAGAAAUCUCCUCUUUCUUUUACAUUACAUUCCGCUGCGAGGAGUCAGAACAAUAAACAUGAUAAAUAGGUAAGUUCUGUAGUUGAU
rnacentral:lncRNA from 12 species